UACGUAGGGUGCAAGCGUUAAUCGGAAUUACUGGGCGUAAAGCGUGCGCAGGCGGUUAUGCAAGACAGAUGUGAAAUCCCCGGGCUCAACCCGGGAACUGCGUCCGAUACUGGCAGGCUUGAAUCCGGGAGAGGGAUGCGGAAUUCCAGGUGUAGCGGUGAAAUGCGUAGAUAUCUGGAGGAACACCGGUGGCGAAGGCGGCAUCCUGGACCGACAUUGACGCUGAUGAGCGAAAGCUAGGGGAGCAAACGGG
rnacentral:rRNA from 1 species